AUAAAUAUACUUGUCUUGGUGUAAGCGAUUUCUUUCACAAAUUUUCUGUCCGUUAUUUGCAUAAUUUAUUACAGCUAGAAUUUCUCGUUGGUUUAGAAAGAUGAAAGUCGAAACAAAAAUGUCGUUGAUAAUACAUCGUCAUCGGCACCAUUGUUACUAGUUCCUAAAGAUAUAGAAAUGACAGUUGGCCCUGAAGAAUGGAUAAGCAGGACAAUAAUUGAUCCGAAGCGAGAAUGUCCAUCAUU